rnacentral:rRNA from 1 species
UACGGAGGGUGCAAGCGUUAUCCGGAUUCACUGGGUUUAAAGGGUGCGUAGGUGGGCAGGUAAGUCCGUGGUGAAAUCUCUGAGCUUAACUCAGAACGGCCAAGUGAUACUGCUGUGCUAGAGUGCAGAAGGGGCAAUCGGAAUUCUUGGUGUAGCGGUGAAAUGCGUAGAUAUCAAGAGGAACACCUGAGGUGAAGACGGGUUGCUGGGCUGACACUGACGCUGAGGCGCGAAAGCCAGGGGAGCAAACGGG